rnacentral:rRNA from 1 species
AUGGCAUGCUGUGGUUCACGAAACGUCAGGUUUCAGAACGAUCUCGAGGUGCAGCAGUUGAAAGCAAUCUCCUUGGAGAGCCCAUCAACAGCGAGCAAGAACCACAGCAAGCUGCCUCACGAUCCAAGGAAAUGCAAGCUGGGCUCCCGGGUCUGCCCGGAGAGGCCGUGCAGAAGCAUCAGGGACAGGGUGCUGUCGCGCGCCUUCUCGGAGGAGCUGGAGUCGCUGAUGCACUCCGGCGGCCACCUCUUCUUCGACCCCCGCGGCCGGGUGAUCCACCUGUGGAACAAGAUCUUCCUCACGGCGUGCCUGCUCUCGCUCUUCGUCGACCCGCUCUUCCUCUACCUCACCGGAACCCAGCAGAACAUGUGCAUCGAGUUCAAGCACUCGCUGGCGCUCAUGCUCUCCGUCAUACGGUCGCUGCUGGACGUGUUCUACGCGGCCCACAUCUGCCUCCGCUUCCGGACGGCGUUCAUCGCGCCGUCUUCCCGGGUGUUUGGGAGAGGAGAGCUUGUGAUUCAGCCCUACAAGAUCGCCAUGAGGUACCUGUCACGGACCUUCUGGUUUGAUCUCAUCACCGCGCUGCCUCUACCACAGUUCGUGAUCUGGGUCGUCGUGCCUAUGCUGAAGGAAUCCGCCACGGCAAACCGGAAGGACAUCCUUCGGUUCAGCAUCAUCUUCCAGUACCUCCCGCGGCUCUUCCAGAUCUUCCCGCUCACGAGGCAGAUCGUCAUGGCGACCGGAGCCAUGACGGAGAACGCAUGGGCCAGCGCGGCGUAUAACCUCAUACUCUACAUGCUGGCAAGCCACGUUCUGGGAGCAUUGUGGUACCUCUUCUCGGUGCAGAGGCAGGAGGCGUGCUGGAGAGAGGCGUGCAAUCUGGAGGGCCCCAUGUGUCGGACCGAGUUCUUCGAUUGCAACACCGUAAGCAGCAACAGGACCAUCUGGUACGAGCUGAGCAACAUAACAAGAUUGUGCACUCCGGACAAUAGUUUCUACCAGUUCGGGAUUUACGCAGAGGCGUUCAACUAUAAGCUCACGACGUCGGCCUUCACGCAGAAGUACUUCUACUGCUUCUGGUGGGGACUCAAGAACCUCAGUUGCCUAGGACAGAAUCUGGCGACGAGCUUGUACAUUGGAGAGAUAAGCUUUGCAAUCGUCAUUGGCGUCCUUGGGCUGGUGUUGUUUGCUCUGCUCAUUGGCAACAUGCAAUCGUAUCUCCAAGCGACCAUGAUCCGACUGGAGGAGUGGCGGACGAAGCGGACGGACAUGGAGCGGUGGAUGCACCACCGGCAGAUACCCCAGCCGCUGAAGCAGUGCGUGAGGAGGUACCAGCAGUACAAAUGGGUGGCCACCCGCGGCGUGGACGAGGAGGCCUUGCUCAAGGACCUCCCCAUGGACAUCCGGCGCGACAUCAAGCGCCACCUCUGCCUGGACCUCGUCCGGCGAGUGCCUCUGUUCGACGAGAUGGACGAGCGGACGCUGGAGGCCAUCUGCGAGCGGCUGCGGCCGGCGCUCUACACCCGUGGCACGCGGCUGGUGCGCGAGCUGGACCCCGUGGACUCGAUGCUCUUCAUCAUCCGAGGGUACCUCGACUCGUACACGACGCAGGGGGGGCGGUCCGGUUUCUUCAACUCGUGCCGCAUCGGGGCAGGGGAGUUCUGCGGGGAGGAGCUCCUGACGUGGGCGCUGGACCCGCGCCCUUCCGAGUACCUGCCGCGGUCCACGCGCACCGUGCGGGCCGUCUCCGAGGUCGAGGCGUUCGCGCUCGUCGCGGAGGACCUCCGGUUCGUGGCGUCGCAGUUCCGGCGCCUCCACAGCGCGCGGAUCCGGCACAGGUUCCGGUUCUACUCGCACCAGUGGCGGACGUGGGCGGCGUGCUUCAUCCAGGCCGCAUGGCGCCGGCACAAGCGACGCCGCGCGUCCAUGGAGCAUAGGAUGCCCCAGGCAGGCGACGGGCGGGCGGGAGGGAGCGUGAGGUGCCGCCGGCACAGCUGCGACGGCAAGGCGCUCAAGAAGCCCAUGGAGCCGGAUUUUACGGUGGAACAAGAGAUCUAA